ACGAACGCUGGCGGCGUGCCUAAUACAUGCAAGUCGAACGGUCUUUCUAUGGAAGCUUGCUUCCACUGAGAAGAUAGUGGCGAACGGGUGAGUAACACGUGGGUAACCUGCCCAUAAGAGGGGGAGUAACAUCCGGAAACGGGUGCUAAUACCGCAUAGUUUUCUUGAUCGCAUGAUCGGGAAAGGAAAGACGGCCUUUGUGCUGUCGCUUAUGGAUGGACCCGCGGCGUAUUAGUUAGUUGGUGAGGUAAUGGCUCACCAAGACGAUGAUACGUAGCCGACCUGAGAGGGUGAUCGGCCACAUUGGGACUGAGACACGGCCCAAACUCCUACGGGAGGCAGCAGUAGGGGAUCUUCCGCAAUGGACGAAAGUCUGACGGAGCAACGCCGCGUGAGUGAAGAAAAGGUUUUCGGAUCGUAAAACUCUGUUGUCAGAGAAGAACAAGUUGGAGAGUAACUGCUCCAGCCUUGACGGUAUCUGACCAGAAAGCCACGGCUAACUACGUGCCAGCAGCGGC
rnacentral:rRNA from 1 species